CUCUUGAUGAUUCUGAUGUUGGCUUUGUCAAAUAAUGUCUUGAAUUUGUUGUUCCUGCAUAAACAAGCUAAGAGUACAAGUGGAACUAGUUAUGGAUAAAAUAUGUUCAUGUCAUGUCGUUUCCCCUUGCAACCGAGGCAUGUUGACGGUGUUUUGUAUGUGGAUUUCUAUGGUAUAUCCACCGUCAACAAGAUCCCCCAAGCUGAACCUUUGCUCGUCCCGAGCAAACAAUCAAACUUAGCCUCGGUGGAUCAGGUAUUGUUACUAUGUUCACAUUUCAAGAGUACCAUGUGUACAACAAAGUUCUUCUCCUUGCAUGAAAAAUUUAGCUAUGUAAACUUACCCCUAUUACCUUGGUCCCUUAUGGGGCUUAUGGCUUUUCCUUUGUCUUAGGUGGUUGAGAGACAGAACAGUUUGACUUGAGCACUAACUUUCUCAUUCGUAGCAAGUUUCAUAUCAGAGGUUUUGUGAUAGUUUCAAAAGAAAGCUUAAAUGUUCCUCUUAUGGUUCUCUCAUGUCACUCAAAUGGUGUAUGAUUCCUCACCAAGGCAUAUGGUAAGAGUUGCCUUCUCUAUUUCAUCCUAUUUCUAAAAGGCUUAUGUGGAGUUCAAGGUAGGGAUGAAAGGAGAUAGCAUACUUACUUUGCAUGUAUUGCGAAGUCAAAGCUCGGAUCCUUGAAGAGAAGUGUCAUACUCCCAGAUCAAGAUGUGCAAGUGUGAUAUAUGGUGGACUAGGUUGCUCCUUUAUUUGAUAGACUCUCUAUGUAUUGAGACAUGGCUAGCAUUUUUUUUUCUUCUUUUUUUUUAUAUAUGAGCUUUCAUGUGCUCAAUUUUCUUUUUCUGUGGACUUGCACAUGUCCAUCUUUUUAUUUCAUUUUGCCUAGCCUUUUGAUGUCUCAUUUACCAAAUAAUGCUUAGAGAGAUGUUCUAACAUUUAGAGUAUGGAGCAACCUAUUUAGUGCAUGCGAAAUACAUGUGGUUGCGUACUUCCAGUGUAGAAGCAGCAUAUAUAUAUGUGGUGUGUACGUGAUCUUGAUCUUAGGAGCAUGAAAAGUCUCUUAACAAGGGUCAACAAGACUUGACGACACUCAACACAAAGCAAAUAGCCUAUGUGGAAAGAUUGCAAUUAUGUAAAGUAGAUAUGGCUGUGGUAGGAAUUCAUCACCAUUGAGGAACAAUUAAGGUUUUGAUCAUUUUAAGAAUAAAUCUCUGAUAAUCAUGCAUGCUUAGAAAAAUAUUAUAGUAGCUCUUGUCUUACUAUCUCAUGUCCCACAACAACUUAGACUUAGUUCUAGCACUUGCAACCCACAAAGUUUUUAGGUUCAUGGCCGUUUAAGUGAGCUAAGUGAUCCAUACUUAGAGAAAUACUAAGUUGUAUACUAGGUACUAGAGAAACAUUAACAAGCAACUAGUCAUCAUUUCCAUGAGGGAUAUAAACAUACAUGAAGCAUAUAUGCUAAAGGGAAAUGCUAAUAAAUAUUUAUUAUUAUUAUUAUUUUUUUAAGUAAGAAUGAUAAAAUGUAUGAAAAUAAAUAGGAUAGAAUACUUACCUUAGUGGGGGAGAGGAUCUCCCCCAAGCUAGAUCUUCGCUCACUGUGGUGGCGGGAAAUUCUGGUACCAUCCAGCCCAGCGUU
rnacentral:lncRNA from 1 species